CCUAUGACCCAUACCCUCCUGAAUGUGCCCAAUCUUGUCUGAUCUUGAAGCUAAGUAGAGUUGGUCCUGGUUAGUACUUGGAUGGGAGAGAAGAAAAACAUUAAUGACAAAAGA
rnacentral:rRNA from 1 species